rnacentral:rRNA from 1 species
GCGUAACACGUAUGCAAUUUACCUUCAACAGGGGGAUAGCCCGGAGAAAUCCGGAUUAAUACCCCAUAAUGUAUCGAGAUCGCAUGGUUUUGAUAUUAAAGUUCCGGCGGUCGAAGAUGAGCAUGCGCCCCAUUAGCUAGUUGGUGAGGUAACGGCUCACCAAGGCGACGAUGGGUAGGGGGUCUGUGAGGAUGAUCCCCCACACUGGUACUGAGACACGGACCAG